rnacentral:rRNA from 1 species
CUUGGUCAUUUAGAGGAAGUAAAAGUCGUAACAAGGUUUCCGUAGGUGAACCUGCGGAAGGAUCAUUAUUGAAAUAAUCUCGAUGAGUUGCUGCUGGUUCUCUAGGGAGCAUGUGCACACUUGUUGUCUUUAUAUCUCCACCUGUGCACCUUUUGUAGACCUGGAUAUCCCUCUGACUGCUUGCAUUCAGGUUUGAGGAUUGACUUUCUGUCUCUCCUUACAUUUCCGGGUCUAUGUUUUCAUUUAACCCUUAUGUAUGUUAUAGAAUGUAAUAAAAUGGGCCUUUGUGCCUAUAAACCUUAUACAACUUUCAGCAACGGAUCUCUUGGCUCUCGCAUCGAUGAAGAACGCAGCGAAAUGCGAUAAGUAAUGUGAAUUGCAGAAUUCAGUGAAUCAUCGAAUCUUUGAACGCACCUUGCGCUCCUUGGUAUUCCGAGGAGCAUGCCUGUUUGAGUGUCAUUAAUAUAUCAACCUCUUCAGCUUUUGCUUGUCGAGUGUUUGGAUGUGGGGGUUCUUUUUUGCUGGCUUCUUGUUUAAAGUCAGCUCCCCUGAAAUGCAUUAGCGGAACAAUUUUUUGACCGUUCAUUGGUGUGAUAACUAUCUACGCUAUUGAUGUCAAGAAGUUCAGCUUCUAACAGUCCAUUGACUUGGACAAAUUUUUCAUUAAUGUGACCUCAAAUCAGGUAGGACUACCCGCUGAACUUAAGCAUAUCAAUAAGCGGAGGA